CACGGGCAUAAGCACAUACAUUCUCAUUGUAGCCGGUCCUAAAGAAAAGUGGUUAAGAACAAAGAACGGAUUUAUAUUGAUUAACACCAGCAGCAACGAGCGGCUCAGGACAGUUUGAAAAACAUAGACAACGAGUCCGAUGCACCUAAAAUACAGAUCAGAUUAUCAAAGAUUGGUAUUCGGAUGACGAGGACAAUGAUGAUGAUGACGAGGGAAGUAAUCUUACUAUAGUGGAUAGUUCGAAAGACGAAAUCGAGCCUAUCGAGAAGACGCAAAACCUCGUUAUCAAGGAGGAGUUCCAGCCUGCGACAUCCGUGUCCAACGUACCCCAGCCGGCCGCUAUUUUGGACAAAUUAGGUGACCUGAGCAAAAUUGAUAUCAGUGCCGAAGUAUCCAAAUUGCUUUCUACUCUGAAGGCUCAGAGCUCGGCGACCAACAAGACGCAAGCAAACUCGAAUCAAGACGCGUCGAAAGCUAAAUCGGCGCAAGAUCCGAAGACGGAUAGCGAGACGUCGUCGAGUCCGAGGCGAUCACCAAAAGUUGUAAUUUAUUGCAAAAUAAACGCAUCUUCUCAUAAUUUUCGGAGGAGUUCCAGCCUGCGACAUCCGUGUCCAACGUACCCCAGCCGGCCGCUAUUGUGAACAAAUUAGGUGAACUGAGCAAAAUUGAUAUUAGUGCAGAAGUAUCCAAAUUGCUUUCUACUCUGAAGGCUCAGAGCUCCGCGACUAACAAGACGCAAGCAAACUCGAAUCAAGACGGGUCGAAAGCUAAAUCGGCGCAAGAUCCGAAAACGGAUAGCGAGACGUCGUCGAGUCCGAGGCGAUCACCAGAAAUUGUAAUUUAUUGCAAAAUAAACGCAUCUCAUAAUUUUCGGUAAGUUUCAUAUACAGUUUAGGUGUAAAA